AUGGCCGAGUUGUAGGCGUUAAAUUGUAAAUUUAAGGACGAAUUAAUUUUCUCUCAU
rnacentral:tRNA from 1 species